rnacentral:rRNA from 1 species
AUGCCGCUGUAUGACUGCAUGCUGAUGGUGAAACCGAUGGUGACCAAGGAGGCCAUAGCGGAGCUUGUGGCGCGGGUGGCGGGGCGCGCCUACCAGCGCAACGGCAUUGUCACCGAGCUCAAAUCCUUCGGCAAAGUGCACCUUGGCUACGGCAUCAGGAAGCUUGACGACCGCCACUUCCAGUGUAUCCCAUUCAACAUAAGGGUUGACUUCAACAAGUUAUGCGGUAAUGCUAUUUACUUCGCGGAUGAUAUGGGCUGCACAUUCUUAAUGGAUGUGCAUAAACGAAAGGAUAGAACCAUCAUAUAUGGUGAUGAAUGGAAACAGUACAUUGCACAGAAUAAUCUCAUCGGAGGAGAGUACAUAUCCUUUUCCUUGAAAGGAGACGUCAACAGGUUAAGGACAAUGUAUUUCUACAACAAUGAUGAUGGCGAUGACAACCGGGAUCAUGAUGAUAGUCAGGAUCAGCAGGAUGAUAGAGAUGACCAAGAUGACGAGGAUGAGGAAGAUGAUGACGAUGGUCCAUUAAGUUCUGCAAUUUUCUGUGAAAGAAUAGGGAAGCUUACUCGAGAUGAGACCAUGAAUAUUACCGUGAUGUUACCAUCGAGUGUAGCCUUCAUGCGGAAGCCAUUUGUGCACCGCUUAACUAAAACCAACAUCGUGAAAAAAGUCAUGAAGUUACCUAUCAAGAUGUUUUUCUGA